rnacentral:rRNA from 1 species
GAUGAACGCUAGCGGCAGGCAUAAUACAUGCAAGUUGAACGGGAUUCAGAUAGCAAUAUUUGAUGAGAGUGGCGCACGGGUGCGUAACACGUAUGCAACUUACCUUAAACUGGGAGAUAGCCCGUGGAAACAUGGAUUAAUAUCCCAUAGUAUAAAGAACAGGCAUUUGUUUUUUAUUAAAGCUCCGGCGGCUUAAGAUGGGCAUGCGCGUCAUUAGCUAGAUGGAGAGGUAACGGCUCACCAUGGCAACGGUGACUAGGGGGUCUGAGAGGAUGUCCCCCCACACUGGUACUGAGACACGGACCAGACUCCUACGGGAGGCAGCAGUAGGGAAUAUUGGGCAAUGGACGCAAGUCUGACCCAGCCAUGCCGCGUGCAGGAAGACGGCCCUCUGGGUUGUAAACUGCUUUUAUCAGGGAAGAAACCCUUCUACGUGUAGGAGGCUGACGGUACCUGAGGAAUAAGGAUCGGCUAACUCCGUGCAGC